GUUUACCUAAUCAAGCCUGGGCAAUGGCGGGUGCCCCUCCUCCAGCCUCGCUGCCGCCUUGCAGUUUGAUCUCAGACUGCUGUGCUAGCAAUCAGCGAGACUCCGUGGGCGUAGGACCCUCUGAGCCAGGUGUGGGAUAUAAUCUCGUGGUGCGCCGUUUUUUAAGCCCGUCGGAAAAGCACAGUAUUCGGGUGGGAGUGACCCGAUUUUCCAGUUUCAAACAUCUUCAAGGCAGAAACGUGUUGUAUUUGCAUGCUGUUUAGAAGGCAGUGUACUGAAUAGUACCAGUUUUUUCAGAGACAAAUAUGGUGUACUUAUUUGAAAAGAAAGGAUGAUACACAUACAUAGCCAUCCAAAAAAUCCUGCAACCAGUAGCAAAUUAUAUUACACAUUGGACACAUCCUAAAUGAUGCAAGGUUGCUAAUUCUCUCUGUUGGUAAUAUCUUUUGAUGCUGUUGUGUCCAGAAUUGAUUCAUUCCUGUGGGUUCUUGGUCUCACUGACUUCAAGAAUAAAGCUGCGGACCCUAGUGUUUCCUGAGGCCUCACUAGAAGCAAAUGCUGGUGCCGUACUUCU
ensembl:lncRNA NIHCOLE ncRNA involved in NHEJ oncogenic ligation efficiency